rnacentral:rRNA from 1 species
CGACCGACCCUCGCAUGGGGUGUUGGUGGAAAGAUUUAUCGGUGGUGGAUGGACUCGCUGGCCUAUCAGCUUGUUGGUGGGGUAAUGGCCUACCAAGGCGACGACGGGUAGCCGGCCUGAGAGGGCGACCGGCCACACUGGGACUGAGACACGGCCCAGACUCCUACGGGAGGCAGCAGUGGGGAAUAUUGCACAAUGGGCGAAAGCCUGAUGCAGCGACGCCGCGUGAGGGAUGACGGCCUUCGGGUUGUAAACCUCUUUCAGCAGGGAAGAAGCUUUUGUGACGGUACCUGCAGAAGAAGCACCGGCUAACUACGUGCCAGCAGCCGCGGUAAUACGUAGGGUGCGAGCGUUGUCCGGAAUUAUUGGGCGUAAAGAGCUUGUAGGCGGUUUGUCGCGUCUGCUGUGAAAAUUCAGGGCUUAACCCUGGACGUGCAGUGGGUACGGGCAGACUAGAGUAUGGUAGGGGAGACUGGAAUUCCUGGUGUAGCGGUGGAAUGCGCAGAUAUCAGGAGGAACACCGAUGGCGAAGGCAGGUCUCUGGGCCAUUACUGACGCUGAGAAGCGAAAGCAUGGGGAGCGAACAGGAUUAGAUA